rnacentral:rRNA from 1 species
GUUCGUAGCUGGUUUGUUAAGUCUCUGGGGAAAUCUUCCGGCUUAACCGGAAGGCGUCUCAGGGAUACUGGCAGACUAGGGACCGGAAGAGGUGAGGGGUACUCCAGGGGUAGGAGUGAAAUCCUGUAAUCCUUGGGGGACCACCUGUGGCGAAGGCGCCUCACCAGGACGGCUCCGACAGUGAGGGACGAAAGCUGGGGGAGCAAACCGGAUUAGAUACCCGGGUAGUCCCAGCCGUAAACGAUGUGCGUUAGGUGUAUCGGUGACCACGAGUCACCGAGGUGCCGAAGAGAAAUCGUGAAACGUACCGCCUGGGAAGUACGGUCGCAAGGCUGAAACUUAAAGGAAUUGGCGGGGGAGCACCACAACAGGUGGAGCCUGCGGUUUAAUCGGACUCAACGCCGGAAAUCUCACCAGAUAAGACAGCUGAAUGAUAGUCGGGCUGAAGACUCUACUUGACUAGCUGAGAGGAGGUGCAUGGCCGUCGUCAGUUCGUACUGUGAAAGCAUAG